UAGGGAAUCUUCCGCAAUGGGCGAAAGCCUGACGGAGCAACGCCGCGUGAGUGAUGAAGGUCUUCGGAUCGUAAAACUCUGUUAUUAGGGAAGAACAAAUGUGUAAGUAACUAUGCACGUCUUGACGGUACCUAAUCAGAAAGCCACGGCUAACUACGUGCCAGCAGCCGCGGUAAUACGUAGGUGGCAAGCGUUAUCCGGAAUUAUUGGGCGUAAAGCGCGCGUAGGCGGUUUUUUAAGUCUGAUGUGAAAGCCCACGGCUCAACCGUGGAGGGUCAUUGGAAACUGGAAAACUUGGGUGCAUAAGAGGAAAGUGGAAUUCCAUGUGUAGCGGUGAAAUGCGCAGAGAUAUGGAGGAACACCAGUGGCGAAGGCGACUUUCUGGUCUGUAACUGACGCUGAUGUGCGAAAGCGUGGGGAUCAAACAGG
rnacentral:rRNA from 1 species